rnacentral:rRNA from 1 species
UACGAAGGGGGCUAGCGUUGCUCGGAAUCACUGGGCGUAAAGCGCACGUAGGCGCUUCUUAAGUCAGGGGUGAAAUCCUGGGGCUCAACCCCAGAACUGCCCUUGAUACUGAGGAGCUUGAGUCCGGGAGAGGUGAGUGGAACUCCGAGUGUAGAGGUGAAAUUCGUAGAUAUUCGGAAGAACACCAGUGGCGAAGGCGGCUCACUGGCCCGAAACUGACGCUGAGACGCGAAAGCGUGGGGAGCAAACAGG